GCGUUGCAUUACGAGCUGUGGGACCGCUGCACGUCUUUUGUUGCCUCUGCCUGCGCUGGCCGUGAUGCUUCGCACGGCCUUGGCCAUAUGCGCAAGGUGACGGAGCAGGCGAUCCUGCUGUACCUCAUGGACACCGCCGCGACUGUGGCGCCCGCGGAAAAAGCCGGUAUGUUGUACCGGAUUAUACUAGUGGGCAUGCUACACGACGUGGCAGACCACAAGUACGACGUCGCUGGCGCUCUCCUGCACCGAGUGAAGUCCUUCGCUGCUGCCGAGGCGGCAGCGCUGGUGGCCCACGCAGAGAGCACGGACCCACGUCUUUUUUGUGUCCCUCUGCCGCGUGCCAACGCCGGCGAGACAGAAGGAAGUGCGCAGCAGGUGGUGCAGCAGGUGGCGCAGCUCCUGCUUACCUCACUGGAUGCCAUCUCGUACUCGAAGGAGGUGAAGCGGGGCAUGCGCUGGUUUGUGCCCGCGCUGAGCGAGGGCGUGGAGGCAGCGACGAAAAGCAGCAGCUGGGUGGCGGUCCGAGAUUACGUGAGCGACGCGGACAAGCUGGAGUCCAUCGGCGAGGACGGACUGCUGCGCUGCUACGAGUACACAUGCGUACAGUAUCGCGCUUCGGCGCUGGCACAGCUUGCAUUGAAGACCCCCCGACCCUCCGCUGAGACUGCUGCGCCGCAGGGGACCGCAGUCGAACGGCAGCUUGAAGCAGUAUUGCUGCGCGAGGUGGUAGCUCAUUUCCACGAAAAGCUGAAGCGCUUGCUGCCAGUGUUCAUCGUGACAUCCUCUGGCAAGCACUUGGGGAUCCCGCGUGCUGCCGAAAUGGCUGCCCUUCUGGAGGAGUGGCAGCACUAUGGACCGCCUCCUGUCACGAUGUAUUGGCGCAACGCUGCGGCCGAGUGCACACCAACGUGAUGUUGAGGACUUUUGAGGAGGAAAGGGGGAAGUGACGCUGCUGAGGUUCUUGUGAUGUUUGCGCUUGCACACACACGCUGACGUGUAUGUGUUGUGUUGCCCCACCACUUCUUUGCCCACAUUUUCUG
rnacentral:misc_RNA from 1 species